rnacentral:rRNA from 1 species
CCCUAAACGAUGUCUACUAGUUGUCGGGUUUUAAUUAACUUGGUAACGCAGCUAACGCGUGAAGUAGACCGCCUGGGGAGUACGGUCGCAAGAUUAAAACUCAAAGGAAUUGACGGGGACCCGCACAAGCGGUGGAUGAUGUGGAUUAAUUCGAUGCAACGCGAAAAACCUUACCUACCCUUGACAUGUACGGAAGCCACGAGAGAUCGAGGUGUGCUCGAAAGAGAACCGUAACACAGGUGCUGCAUGGCUGUCGUCAGCUCGUGUCGUGAGAUGUUGGGUUAAGUCCCGCAACGAGCGCAACCCUUGUCAUUAGUUGCUACAUUUAGUUGAGCACUCUAAUGAGACUGCCGGUGACAAACCGGAGGAAGGUGGGGAUGACGUCAAGUCCUCAUGGCCCUUAUGGGUAGGGCUUCACACGUCAUACAAUGGUACAUACAGAGGGCCGCCAACCCGCGAGGGGGAGCUAAUCCCAGAAAGUGUAUCGUAGUCCGGAUCGCAGUCUGCAACUCGACUGCGUGAAGUUGGAAUCGCUAGUAAUCGCGGAUCAGCAUGUCGCGGUGAAUACGUUCCCGGGUCUUGUACACACCGCCCGUCACACCAUGGGAGCGGGUUUUACCAGAAGUAGGUAGCUUAACCGCAAGGGGGGCGCUUACCACGGUAGGAUUCGUGACUGGGGUGAAGUCGUAACAAGGUAGCCGUAUCGGAAGGUGC